CUCCCUCUUGCCCUUCUGGUCAAUGACUCCUCCUUCUUCCUCCCCGUCUCCUCUCUCUUCUCCCCCAUCUCAUACACAGCUCCCCUCCCCCCUCCCCCAUCCCCUCCUUCAGAUCCGGCUUUUGGAAGAUGGAGAAAGUAACACAUCUUCACCCCCAUCCCCUUCUUAAACACUAUUUACAACAUAAAUUCCAAACAUCCGCCAUCUGGUUCUAGGAAGGGCCAAAAGAUAUUUAGAAAAGGAAGUCAUGAUUAUUCCAUCUUCAAAGCCAAAGGAACUUAAAGGCCCCCUCUCUCCCGCCUCCCUCCCAGGGCCUCUUUGUUAAGAUCUAACAGAUUAGGAUCCCUCCGUGAGUAGAAAGAGCCAGUCCCAGCUGGGCCUCUGACUGCAUCACAUUGAGCGGGUUGCUUCUCCUCUCCGUACCUCGGUUUUCCUCAUCCGAGCAAUGGGCGCGAGACGAGGUUGCCUCCAGCACUAACGUUCUGAGACUUUGAGUCCUGCUGCAGAAAACCCACCUGGCCCAGGUCCCUGUGGCCUGCUCUGGGCUGAGCAUAGGGUGGGCUAGCAGGGGAAGUGAGUCAGAGCCAGCGGGGGAGUUCCAGCCUCAACCUUCGGUGCCCCUUCUCUCUCGCUCCGUGGAGAUCCAUGCAGACCGUCCACCUUCCAUCACACUGACACUAACACCAAGGGGAUGGGCUGCGGUCAAGCCAUCCCCCCAGUGGGAUACCAUGGAGUCCGGUCCCCUCCCCACCACAUCACAGUGAGGCCCAGAGAGGGGAAGGCUCUUUCCGCAAUCACACCGCGUGUCCACAGGUGACCUGGAUUCUAACCGGCUGCUCUUCCCAUCCAGCACGCGCCAGAAGAAACCAGCAUUUGUAGUAUCCAGAGAGCGUCGCUCAGAGCCAGCAAACCGGGACCCUGGAGGCCCCACUUCUUUGCAAAGUGGACAGGGCAGAAGGGAGAACUAAUCCCUUUACUGCGGUUGGUUGGUUUUAAACAGACAGCACGCUAGGGAGAAGUACAAGAGGCAUAACGAAAAUGGAAAGCCUCCCUGCUUCUGGAGAUGUGCACCUUUGCCGGGGUCCGCACACCUCCGUUUACUCUGCAAAUGCUUCUUUGCCCACAGCCCCGUUUCCACCUCAGUGAACACAGGCCUGACGAAACGCCGUGAGACACUCACCCAGGCUGUCGCUCUAUAAAAAUGGCGCCGGGGAUAGUCGGGUCUCACGGGGCAGCCGUGAAAACGCGUGUUGGGCUGGCCGAAGCCCAUCCUGAGCCUGACGCUCACCGGCCGUGUGACCUUGAGGGAGCGCUAUGACCUCUGCGAGCCUCAGUUUCUCCGUCUGGAAAAUGGGAGUGAAAACGGCAAGGGCACUGGCCGGUGGGAGCCACUCUUGCAACGCUGACAUUGGACGAGCAAGCACCCCAGAGAGAGCCUCCUGAGGACCAGAGGGGAGGGCAGGCGGCAGAGGCCCUGAAAACAGAGCUCCUCCCCGGAGCUUCCCAAGAAGACAGAGGCUCCCCCGGGCUGGGCUUGGCGACAUUUCCUGAAGACAGUAGGGAGCAGUGAGGGGAAAUUGGCCCGUUUCUGGGAGCAACGCCGCAGAUUGCCAACAGCCGGCACCAGGUAAGAAUCUGCCCGCUAUGAGUCUAAGGCCACCUGCUCAAGUGUCUCCUUGGACACAGGGGAAAGGGAGCCACAGAGAGGGGAAGCACGUGGGAGAAGUGACCACACCGGUAGAACUCAGGUCUCCCAAAUGGCCCGUUGUCUCCUGACUGGGGACCAAGAGUAAGAAGGAGCCUCUGGUGGGGUAAGUGGAAUAGGAGGGCUGUCGACCUCCUUCUCAUCUGAAGGAGACCAGGGGUCAGGGCCAGCACUGUCUGCCUGCUGGACAAGUAAGAGAGACUCAAGGGAAGAGUUCUUGGGCAAGAGGACACACUUCCUGCAUCUCUGCCCCUCCUCCCAGCCUACCACCCCCUCCUCCAGGAAGUCCUCCCAGCUCCCCCCCUGGGGCAGGAACCUCUUUGUCCUCUAAGACCUUGGCAGUCCUUUCUUAGGCUGUCCCUGGUGCCACUUGGAUCUGUGCCCUAUUCACCUUGCCAGGGACAUUCUUCUUCCAUUUCAGCCUGACUGCACCCCUCCAGGGCAAGGACAUCAGUCCCACCUCCCCUCGGCACAUAGAAGUCACCCUAGGCUUGCUGGAUGGGGAGGUGAAAUGGUGAGACCCUGUCUCAGACCCAAAGGAUUGGUAAAUUGGCCAGGGGAGGAGACAUUGGGCAUAGAGGUUAAAGAUGAGGGAGCCGGGGUUGGCUGUUCUGAGUUAGGAACCCAGCUCAGCUCCUAACUCCGUGGCCUUGGAAAAUUCCCUUCUCACAGAGCCUUGGGGAUACGGGGGGAUUAGCACAAUUAAAACAGUCAACAAAUGACUGCUCUUAUUACAGUCGGCGUCACUGUGAUUUUCCUAGCUACAAGGAACAGAAAGAAGUACGCAGCCUAUAGCCAGAGGAGAAGCAAACAGCUUCCCCCAAAGGCUGCUCAUGGAGCCCUGUCCCUGCAUCACUUUCUCCCACGGGAACAUGGGCCUGCCUCCCAUCUACUUCCUGUUUCCAUACGCAGGAGGGGGGCUCUCUCGGCCACAAUAUUCGGAGCCUAAUGGGAUGUGCGGAAACAGCCCGCGCCUCCCCUGGUUCGAGCCAGGCUGUGCCCACAGAACCAUCUCCUCCCCGUCCCGGUCCCCCGCGUGGAGGUCACAACAUACCCCUGCCGGCCUCACCCGCUGUCCUGAAGGUCCAGCGUCACGGGGCGCAGUUCCCGAGCUGCAGUCACGCAGACGCCCCCUUUCGUAUGUUUGCCACAUCUGCAAACCGUCACAAGAGUUUUACAUUUAACACGAGUCACUGGCAAUAGGUACGUACAAAUCGCUACCGUUCAUGAGAAACUCUAACACUGCUCGUGACGAGGAGACGAAGGUAAGAAAAAGCAGAGCGAGCCCCAGGCGGUGUGAUUACCGUCCCCCUGGUACGUGGCUUGCAAGGGCCUGGGCCUGAGGCCUGAGACCCGAGGGGAAGACGCGGGGACGCCAAAGGUGGGCAGCUGAAGGCUUCAGAAAGAGUUGUGCAGCAAGGGACGCGGGAGGCUGGCUUUAUCAGCUUGGUUCCCGGAGCCCUGGAAAGUUCACUCUGUCGGGACAGCCCCCGGCCCCCAGCUUCUUACUGAAAGCUUCAAGCUGUCAGGCCCAGCACGUUCUCUCGUAGGGCUGGUGGGAGAGUGGUGUGGACAGGCUGUGGGCUGUCCAGGACCCCGAAGGUGGGUUGUUGGAAUCAUUCCCCAGCUAAACGCAGUUUGGAAAGAGUUCCUACAGGAGAAUUCCAUAUUAAAGAAAGGCAUUUCUUUGGCUGGGAGUACCUCAAGAUGGGGCUGUCCCUCUCAGGAGGCCGUGGGGACUGAGCUGCUCCAAGUAGCAGACCAGAGAGAGAGAGACUCUUGAUUCGGGCCAAAUUUCAGAUUUCUGAUAGAGGCACAGGAGAUACUUUUUUUUUUUCUUUUUUUUAAGGAAGUGUGUGGUUUUUUGCUCUCUGCUAAGGAGAGGAUACCCACCGCCUCCCCCCUUAAGCCUUCAGAUAUCUCUGAAAGUAUACGUCAUGCACCACAUGUCGCCACAUAUCAAGGCCACCACAGUAGACAUCCAGGAACGCAGGAAGGUCCUCUGGGGGUUCCCCGAGAACUUGGCGGGGCAGGAGGGACCGAGGGAGCUCUGCCUGCUCACUCAGAGGUUCCCACCCAAGCCCGCUCUCAACAGAAAAACAAUUUAUCUCCGUGGCCAUUCAUUCAUCCACCAAAUGGCAUUCCCUGGGGCCCAGUAUCACGUACAAAAACUGCAGCAAGGCCCAAGGACACCCCUAAACCCACAAAUGUGGGCGCUCUCCUCAGGGAACUGGAUACUAGCCCAGUCAGGCCCACGUGCCAUUUGCAGCCUGACCCCGGAAAGAAACAGAUCGAGGAAAACAAUUCAGCCAUUCAACCAAUGCUUAAUGAGCGUCUACACGGGGGAACCUACCUUCAGCGGUGAGCCCAGCCAGCCGGGUCCCUUCCCUCACAGGUGGUCCACACAGCCCACAAGUGGGGGAGGUCAGAAAAGAGAAUUGCACACCACGUGUGACACAGGAUUAGAAAGUGGACACAGCAUGUGUGAGGACGUUGACCAGGGCUUCCUGAUGUCUGAGGCGGUGGAGGAGGGCUUCCCAGAAAAAGCAGCCUUUUGAGUAGGCACGGAGCACUGGGAGAGGAGUCAGCAGGGGGCGUGAGGGGGAGCACCCCCUAAGAGUCCAGAGGUGGUGGGCACCGGAGAAGAGGAAGAGGUCCUCGUGAUCUUCAGUGAGGGUUUGGGAAUUUAGCCGGAAGGAGGGUGAGCGCUUUCAGGCUCGUAAGCGUGGAGGCGAUAGGAGCAUUCCGGAAGGAUGUCUGAGAAGGAUGGCUGGGGAGUCGGGAGGAGCCGGAGCAGGAAGUCCACACAAGUACCCUGAAGGUGCCAUCUGGCUGGAAUGAGCAACGGGUAAAGGUGGGGAUGGGGCCACCGUAUCGGGUGAGUUCAGGCUGCUCUGCAAAGACAGAAGCGGCCUGCCCAGAGCAGGGCUGGUGGGAGAUGCGAGGGGCUAACGGAGAAGGGGUUUCUCUUGGGGGUGAGGACGUGGUCUAAAAUUAAUUGCGACAGUGGUGGCACAACUUUGUGAACAUAUUAAAAACCAUUUCGUCGUACGUUUAAAUUGGGGGAGGGGGGCGUGUGGAUUACAUCUCGACAAAGCUGGUUUAAAAAAAAA